UCCUGGCUCAGGAUGAACGCUGGCGGUCUGCUUAACACAUGCAAGUCGAACGCAACCUUCGGGUUGAGUGGCGGACGGGUGAGUAACGCGUGAGAAUCUGCCUUGGGGUCGGGGACAACCACUGGAAACGGUGGCUAAUACCGGAUAAGCCUUUGGGUAAAAGAUUUAUUGCCCCAAGAGGAGCUCGCGUCUGAUUAGCUAGUUGGUGAGGUAAAAGCUCACCAAGGCAGCGAUCAGUAGCUGGUCUGAGAGGACGAUCAGCCACACUGGGACUGAGACACGGCCCAGACUCCUACGGGAGGCAGCAGUGGGGAAUUUUCCGCAAUGGGCGAAAGCCUGACGGAGCAAGACCGCGUGAGGGAGGAAGGCUCUUGGGUUGUAAACCUCUUUUCUCAGGGAAGAAGCUCUGACGGUACCUGAGGAAUCAGCCUCGGCUAACUCCGUGCCAGCAGCCGCGGUAAUACGGAGGAGGCAAGCGUUAUCCGGAAUUAUUGGGCGUAAAGCGUCCGCAGGUGGCGAUUCAAGUCUGCUGUCAAAGCACGGGGCUUAACUCCGUUAAGGCAGUGGAAACUGAAUAGCUAGAGUGCCGUAGGGGUAGAGGGAAUUCCCGGUGUAGCGGUGAAAUGCGUAGAGAUCGGGAAGAACAUCGGUGGCGAAAGCGCUCUACUGGACGGCAACUGACACUCAGGGACGAAAGCUAGGGGAGCGAAUGGGAUUAGAUACCCCAGUAGUCCUAGCUGUAAACGAUGGAUACUAGGUGUAGCUUGUAUCGACCCGAGCUGUGCCGAAGCUAAACGCGUUAAGUAUCCCGCCUGGGGAGUACGCACGCAAGUGUGAAACUCAAAGGAAUUGACGGGGGCCCGCACAAGCGGUGGAGUAUGUGGUCUAAUUCGAUGCACCGCGAAGAACCUU
rnacentral:rRNA from 1 species